ACCUCCCGAGAGCCCCGGGAACUGCGGCCGUGUCAGCCGUCCCUCCGCGGUGCCCGGCAGUCGCCGCGCCUCCUCCGGGGUCCUGGCGCGGGAUUUGUCCACGCGGGGAGGUGGGCCGCUAGCUGGGUGGGCUCUGGCUCUCGGCGAGCGGAGGCGGUCCGGAGGGCGGAGCCGGGCCUGGGUGGCCGCACCUCUUCCGGCAGCCAGAAGGAGGCGGGGCAUGCAGAUGCAGAUUAGAAACGGCCGUUCGGCGCGGGCAGGACGGGGCAACCAGGGACAUGCGAUUUGCCGCUCGUAGUGAAGAGGAGGAAACAUCUACCCCAGAGUCUCGCGCUGGGGACGGCCGUGUUGUGGACGACGUGAAGGAAAUCAGGCCGGGAGCGAGGGUUAAGCUUGUCACCGCUCCAACGUUCGGCAACCUGGCCGCCUGUCUCCCCAACCCACUCGCGUCGUUCCCGGUGAUCUCAGCAGCCGCUCCGCCGAUCCCUCCCGACACCUGGCCUCUCGGUUCUUCCCUCCCUCCGCCCUUCGGUUCUCAAGGUCUAAAUACCUGAAUCCGGGGACAUCCUCCAAAUGCCAGGCAGGAACUGCUCAUUGGCUGUCAUACCCGUCGGUGACCUCAAAUGCAUCUCCAACAGGUUCUGGCUUGCCACGACUUCUGGUUCUUCUCGCACUUGCAUUGUCAAAAACACAACAGUUGAAAAUGUUCGUGGCUUACGGUGUUGUUGAGUUGC